AAAUUAAAUUAUGCAUUUUAAGUAUCAUAUCAAUAUGGCCAAAUAAUGUGGAAGUAACCCCACAUGAACUCACAAUCUCCAUUAGUCUUCAUGGCUCACACACUCCCUCUGCUGGACGCUUAAGUAAGUAUUGUUCCACCCUAAUCUCUCAUUCACUACUUCCUAUCUGAUCACUGCCAGACAGAACAGCAAACAAAGUGGCAAAGUGGCAUGAACAUUGAUAAUCAUAUAUAUUACAUUAUGCAGGUUUAAAGCAUAAUAUCAUUAUGGGACAAUAAUGUGAAGUAAACAUAAAAGCAGGACAUACUAUACUCAUGAUUCUUUUUCUUUGGACUAUCAGUUUCUUCAAGUGUCCCUCCUUUUAUUUACAGUUUCUUCAAAUCAGUGGAAACGACUGAAGCAAAUAACUUGUAGAGUGGAACAUAACUGCUUCACAUCCACUGAGAGGACUGUGAAUGUUGCAGAACCUGCAGUUACAGCUCCAUCAGUGGAGAUCAGGAGAUCUCUCCCAGAUUUGCUGAAGGGAAACAGUGCUGUGCUGAAGUGUGACGUCACACAGCUCUCCUCCACUGACCUCUAUGUCACCUUCCAGGCCAACAGUGUUGAUAUUUCUGACAAACAGUAUGUUGAUCUUCCUGAAGGCCCGGGCCUUCAUUCAAUCAGUAGAUGCUUCACUGUCCCUCCAAGUCACUGGAAGAAAGACACAAGUUUCACCUGCAAAGUGAAUCAAGGCUUCUCCAGCAACUUUGAGUCCAACUCCACGGGUGAUUUUUUUGGUGAGAGGAGUGAGAGGAGUUACACUCUGCUUUCACUUAAUUAUUUCAUGUUGUAACCAUUAUUAAUUUGUAACAGUUUGAUUGGUUGAGGAUUGAUGUUUCUGAUUCUGUGAAUAAAGGGAGGGACACUUGAAGAAACUGUUAGUGAAAAGU